rnacentral:rRNA from 3 species
ACGAACGCUGGCGGCAGGCUUAACACAUGCAAGUCGAGCGCCCCGCAAGGGGAGCGGCAGACGGGUGAGUAACGCGUGGGAAUCUACCCAUCUCUACGGAACAACUCCGGGAAACUGGAGCUAAUACCGUAUACGUCCUUUUGGAGAAAGAUUUAUCGGAGAUGGAUGAGCCCGCGUUGGAUUAGCUAGUUGGUGGGGUAAUGGCCUACCAAGGCGACGAUCCAUAGCUG